GAUGAUGAAGAUAUUAUAGAUCAAUCACAAAUCUAUUUUAUUGAAAGCAGGAAAUGAACUUAGAAAAUAAGAUCGAUGAUCAUUCUUAGACUAUAGUAAUACUAUUUAUUGAAAAGAUUAAACAACUGAGUCCCCUAAUUAGAAUGCAGAGAAUACAUCUUAUUAUGUGAUGCAGUUUAAUUAUGUGGAGAGUUUCUCUUCCUCCUCAUCACAGAAUUGGCAUUGGCAUUUCUUGAAGAAGAAAACGCAUUGUCCUGAGAUUGCAUUUUCUACUUUCUGGCAGAAAUGAUUGCAUACUGCAGAAUGAUAGCAUCUUCCAUGAGGCCAUGUGUCACUUAUACGCAAACAUGCCUUGCUUGGUUUUGGUUCCUUCUCGUCCGAAAAAGCUGCAUGUCCGUCCAUAAUUUACAAAAUUAAAUAAACAAUUAUAGUAUGAUUUCAUAAAUUAAACAAACAAUAAUGUGACUUGCCUGAAGUAACAAGGAGAAUGGUAGCAAAGAAAGCUGCAAACAUUUGAAUACGAUUAAGGAACCUAGCCAUUCUUGCUUGCUUAUUCACUUUGUUUUUUGCUUUGAUAUAAUGAAACAAGGAUGGGUUUGUAUAUAUAUAAUAAUAAAUAUUCAUGCUUAAAUGGUGAACUCAUUGUUAGGUUAAGUACAGAAAUAACGUG
rnacentral:lncRNA from 1 species